CGGAAAACCCCGUCCGACAUCUCUCCGGCGCACGUCGGUGUCGUUGUGUGGACGCCCGGCCACCGGUGCAUCGGGCAACACCGGAAGAGCGGGAACACCUGGAGAGCAGGGCUGUGUACAGAAACGGGGCGGAGGCAGCAAGCGAGGAAGGCAGCAGAAAGCAGGAAGCAAGAAACGGAAGCAGCAGCGGAUAUCGGUGAGAAGGCGUCGCGUGACACGCAGGCAAACCCUGAGACACCAGCAUUGAAGUCGGUGAAAAGCACGGGAGAUACUCUUUGUCAUCUCCAUUGGUAACGUAGAGGUGUAUGUUGGUGGCAAAAGAAGAGGCAAACGACGCUUUCUUGAGUUCCCUGGGAAGUUCGGGACAAGAACGAGCUAGCCAUUUGGUGCAGAUGUGCCAAGGAUGUUGGCGGAGAAGUAGCACUUGAGGGUACCUGAGACUGCGGGCGUCUGCUCUGUUCUCCUCGGAAGAAGGAGUCGUCUUAUCGCACUUGGAAAAAUCAAGACAAGUCGUCCAGCCCUCCACUGAGAACAGGAAGUUCAAACACGGGAGAAAAAGGAAAGUCUACCGUUUCAGGGGAGACGGACGGGGAACAGAGCUGGCGCAAGGGGAGCACAGAGGCGGACUCCAGACUGCCGUGGAAGGUCUUUCGAGUCGGUGGACAUGGUUUCUGCCAAAAACCUGC
rnacentral:lncRNA from 1 species